rnacentral:rRNA from 1 species
CCUACGGGAGGCAGCAGUGGGGAAUAUUGGGCAAUGGGCGCAAGCCUGACCCAGCAACGCCGCGUGAAGGAAGAAGGCUUUCGGGUUGUAAACUUCUUUUCUCAGGGACGAAGCAAGUGACGGUACCUGAGGAAUAAGCCACGGCUAACUACGUGCCAGCAGCCGCGGUAAUACGUAGGUGGCAAGCGUUAUCCGGAUUUACUGGGUGUAAAGGGCGUGUAGGCGGGACUGCAAGUCAGAUGUGAAAUCCACGGGCUCAACCUGUGGCCUGCAUUUGAAACUGUAGGUCUUGAGUGCUGGAGAGGCAGACGGAAUUCCUAGUGUAGCGGUGAAAUGCGUAGAUAUUAGGAGGAAGACCAGUGGCGAAGGCGGUCUGCUGGACAGCAACUGACGCUGAGGCGCGAAAGCGUGGGGAGCAAACAGGAUUAGAUACCCGAGUAGUC